GCCUGGAUAGCUCAGUUGCUUAGAGCGUGGUACUGACAAUGCCAAGGUUGCAGGUUCGAUCCCUUAAUGGGGCA